UAGCUGUACAUAAAGAGAAUGGAAGCCGUGCUGCUCCAGAAGUAUCAGAUCAACCUGAUGAUGGGGAGGGUGACUGGUUGAAGAAACUUUCUGAUUUUGCUGGAUCCAUUGUCAACGGGGCAUCCAAGUGGCUGAAGGACAACCUGUAGCCCCUGUAAAUAUUCACCGCGCAAUGCAUUCUCUUCAACGCCAGUUAUGGUGUUAUCUUAUCUGCAAUUCUUCAAUCCAUCAGGAUUCGACGAGCUGUUGCAUGCAUGUGUUCUGUUGGAGAGGCUCAUCUUUUACGGCAGUGAAGUGGCAACGGAGAGGUUUAGUGUCAACUAAUUUUAUUGACGCCAUAUUUAUUUUGUUUUGAGAUACCCUUGUAAAGCAUGAAUUUUGCUGUAGACGCACUCAUAUUUCCUAGAGCAUGUAACAGUCGUCUGAUUCACGGCCGCUGAUAUCAAGCUCGAUGAAGCUUACAUUCUUUGUAAAUACAUAUCUUUUUCCAGUA